rnacentral:sRNA from 1 species
GGAAAUUGUGAGAUUAUAGUUGAGUUGGCUAAAUCUUACCCAGAUCUCCCAUGGGAUGUUAAUGACAAAAAUCAAAGCAUCUUUCACAUUGCAGUUUUGUAUCGUCAUGCAGCCAUAUUUAAUCUCAUACAUGAAAUAAGAUCGAUCAGGAAUUUUGUGGUAACAUAUGAGGAUGCAGAUCAAAACAAUUUACUGCAUUGUGCUGCAAAAUUAGCACCACCAAACCAACUUAACUUGGUGUCUGGAGCAGCUUUUCAGAUGAUGCGUGAGUUACGGUGGUUCGAGGAGGUGAAGAAGGUCAUGCCACUUUGUUUCAUAGAGAAGAGAAAUUCCAAUGGUAAAACUCCUCGAGAACUUUUCACAGAGGAGCAUGCAGAGUUACUGACAAAAGCAGAAUCUUGGAUGAAGAGCGUGGCAAACUCUUGCAUGAUAGUUUCAACACUUAUUGCUACAGUAGUGUUCAC